rnacentral:tRNA from 1 species
GCCGGAGUGGCGGAACAGGCAGACGCACGGGACUUAAAAUCCUGUGAUACGCGAGUAUCGUACCGGUUCGAUCCCGGUCUCCGGCACCA